rnacentral:rRNA from 1 species
CAAAGGAAUUGACGGGGCCGCACAAGCGGUGGAGCAUGUGGUUUAAUUCGAAGCAACGCGAAGAACCUUACCAGGUCUUGACAUCCCGAUGCUAUUUCUAGAGAUAGAAAGUUACUUCGGUACAUCGGUGACAGGUGCUGCAUGGUUGUCGUCAGCUCGUGUCGUGAGAUGUUGGGUUAAGUCCCGCAACGAGCGCAACCCUUGUCUUUAGUUGCCAUCAUUAAGUUGGGCACUCUAAAGAGACUGCCGGUGUCAAACCGGAGGAAGGUGGGGAUGACGUCAAGUCCUCAUGGCCUUUAUGACCAGGGCUACACACGUACUACAAUGGCAGGUACAAAGGGCAGCCACUUAGCGAUAAGGCGCGAAUCCCGUAAAACCUGUCUCAGUCCGGAUUGGAGUCUGCAACUCGACUCCAUGAAGUUGGAAUCGCUAGUAAUCGCAGAUCAGCACGCUGCGGUGAAUACGUUCCCGGGCCUU